UCCCUGUGGGGAGCCAAUGUGGGACUCGAUCCCAGGACCCCAGGAUCACACCCUGAGCCGAAGGCAGAAGCUCAACCGCUGAGCCCCCCAGAUGCCCCAGACUUUUGCACAUUUAAAAUAAGACAGACAGAGGCAUUCUGAAAGAAAAGGGCAGGGAGAAUGUCUCCUCCCAUAUUUCUCAGGACCUUGAAGCCUCUUCUUUUCAGCCUGUGCUUGUGUCACGGCCUGGGUAAGCCGUGUGGCAGAGCUAGCACCCUGGCUGGCAAGGCCCUGUCCCUCCUGCACCUGCUGAGGUACAAGCUCACCCAGUGCUCCAAGACAAGGGCCAUGCGGGCAUCCUCCACCAGUCCACCUGUACCCCCAGCCAGCAGGACAGCAUCGGUGCCCCAGGAGGACCAGCUCAGCCUCUGUCCUAAGAUUUGGCAGGGUUGGGGCCUGUGGUGAGGGUGGCAAGCAGCCCAGGACUGUGCUCACAGCAACUAGCACCCUGCCUGGUUGGCCUUGUGUCCAGGUGAGAGCUUGCGGGAGAGGAUGGCAGGACCCCGGCUACCAGACUUCACACGCUGAGUGACUCUGUGUCACCCAGAGCAUCGUCUGCUGGCCGCGGUUGGGCUAGUAGGUAGGGAUAUUUCCCCUGGGCCCAGUGCCCUGGACGGCUUCCCAGCAGCUGUGGGCUUGCAUCGUCCUCGGGGGGAGGUCAGGCUCAGCAGCAAUGCUCAAGUCAGACACUUGGCUGUUUAUUUGUUUUGUUUUUAGAUUUUAUUUAUUAGAACACAAGCAGGAUGAGGGGCAGAAGAAGAGGGAGAAGCAGACUCCUCGCUGAGCAGGGAGCUUGAUGUGGGACUCCAUCCCAGGACCCCAGGAUGGUGACCUGAGCAGAAGGCAGAUGCUUCACUGACGGAAACCCCAGGUGCCCCAACACUUGGCCUUUUCAUGGAAGCAAAUAUCGAGUUCUCACAUCUAAUAGAAGGACUGUUUUGGUGGGAAAUAAUUGACAUACAUCACCGUACACAUUUAAGGAUGCACUGUGAUGGCCCGAUUCACCGUAUUCUAUGAAAUGAUUACGAUAGGCUCAGGGGACCCAUCUUCCCAUACAGGCACGGUAAUGUUUCUGACCCGCACCCACCUUGCCGGCAGGAGCACCAGCUAUUUGUAAAACUGCUGUUUGUUGGAACGUUUUAUUGCCAAGAAACAGUUUCACAACUACGAGCCGAUCUCUUUGCUGGACCGUUUGUCCUUCUAUGUCUCCGGUGUAUUCUAUGGAAGCGGACUUAUUGUUUGAGAGCAGCUGUAGAUUCUCAGCAACAUUAAGAGUUAGGUGCAGAGAUUCCCACCAACCGCCCCAUGCAGCCUCCCCAUCGGAUGGUCCUCCUGGUGCCGAAUAACAUUCCAUUGUCUGAGACACUAGCUGCUUCCAAAAUUUCUCUACUAGGCGCUACCCGUCACGCUGCAGGGCAGGGAAGUGUCACGCAGGGAUGAGGAUGCUAGAGUUGGGCUGCGACUAUGCUCUCGUUCUCUUCCUCAAGGUGUGUGGAACCCCAACACACAGGGGGUAAUUUAGGGGGUGUCAUGUGACCUCCUGGCAGCAGAACCCUAAUUGGCAAUCGUCAAAAGAAA